rnacentral:misc_RNA from 1 species
ACUGUCUGCUAGCACCAUUGCACCUAUUGGGAGAUAUAACUGUUACUUCAGAAUUAUCAUUGAGUAAUGCAUGCCGCAAGAAGGAUAAAGUAGAAACCUUAGAGCUCAAGGUAGUCCUAAUUUUAUGAUUGUCACAAAUACAGAUACAACCUAUCAUACAGAAAUUCCUAUCUUGGGUAUUUUUCCAAACUUUAAAUGUCUCUUAAAUUUCAAAUUCUAUAUGUAGUAUUUCUAACUCUAUAAUAAAGUGUUGAAGCUAUGCUAUGGUGUGAGAUUGUGAGUUUCUAAACAGAGCAAAGGUCAUGAAACACCCAACAAAUAAGACCUGGACACAUCACCCUUCAACAAGUUCCCUGCAGCACCCAAGUGCAUUAAAAUGCCAGAUCACUAUGUUCCUAAGCCUUGGAACAAGCAUAUAGCCUUUUGAACUUACAUCUUAAAGAUUGUUCCCAAUGCGUGAGACUCCCUAUUUUGUAAAGGUUUGGGGAGGAUGAUUGAUGUAGAACAAAGGGAAAGA